rnacentral:rRNA from 1 species
GCUGGCGGCGUGCUUAACACAUGCAAGUCGAACGGAAAGGCCCUAGCUUGCUGGGGUACUCGAGUGGCGAACGGGUGAGUAACACGUGGGUGAUCUGCCUUGCACUCUGGGAUAAGCUUGGGAAACUGGGUCUAAUACCGGAUAGGAACCGUCUUUAGUGUGGUGGUUGGAAAGUUUUUCGGUGCAAGAUGAGCUCGCGGCCUAUCAGCUUGUUGGUGGGGUAAUGGCCUACCAAGGCGUCGACGGGUAGCCGGCCUGAGAGGGUGUACGGCCACAUUGGGACUGAGAUACGGCCCAGACUCCUACGGGAGGCAGCAGUGGGGAAUAUUGCACAAUGGGCGGAAGCCUGAUGCAGCGACGCCGCGUGGGGGAUGACGGCCUUCGGGUUGUAAACUCCUUUCGACAGGGACGAAGCGUUAUGUGACGGUACCUGUAUAAGAAGCACCGGCU